rnacentral:snRNA from 1 species
GGAUGUGAGGGCGAGCUGGCUGCGACACCUGUCACCCCAUGGGUUGAUUCGGCUGAUCUGGGCGGCUAGAAGGGUGUCCCCUCCCUCCCUCAUCACUCCUUGUCCCUCCGGAAACUGUGCGCUUGGUCAAAGAUGACGACCUUCCCCGAAAAGACAAGGCGCGGUCUUCAGACAGGGCACAUGAGUGGCUGCCCUCCCUGCUAGAACCUCCAAACCAGCUCUCAGAUGCCAGCUUGAGCCACAUUCAUAAUUCAUAAUUAACGCUCAGGCAAGCCAGAUCCAUAGACCUAAGUAACUCAGGGGUU